AUAUUAUAAGUAAGUACUGUAAAGAAAAGUUAAAUUAAGAAUAGUUUUAUACCUUUUGCAUAAUGGUUUAAUAAUUAGUUACUUAAGGAUUUUUUUCCCGAAAUUAGAAGAUCUAAUGUUGUUAAAAUUUUAGUUACUAUAUAAUAUAAUGUUUCAAAAUUAUAAAUAUAAGCAAGAUUAGGGGUGAAAGGCUUACCAAUUCUAUUGAUAUCUGGAUUAAUUUUAAAUGUAUUUAGUACAGAAUAAUGUUUGAUUAUAGAAAUCUUAAGAUUUCUAUAAUCAUAGAAUAACACUUAAUAUAACUUUUUUUGAAUUAACCUUCUUAUAACUAAUAUUUACUAAUAAUUUUAAAGUGAAUUAAUCUAAAUUAUAAAAUUACAAAUAUUUAAAUUUUAAAGUAUAUAAAUUAUGUUAAAAUUAGUAUAAUAUUAUACUUUGUUUUUUAUAGGAACUCGGCAAAUUUAUUAUUCAUCUGUUUAUCAAAAACAUAGUUUUGUGUGGUGUAUACAAAGUGAAACCUGCCCAGUGACAUUUAUUUAACGGCCGCAGUACCUUGACUGUGCUAAGGUAGCAUAAUAAAUUGACUUUUAAUUGGAGCCUUGAAUGAAAGGAUAAUUGGAUAAUUUCUGUUUUUAAUUAAUUAUUUAUAAUUUACUUAAAAGGUGAAAAUUCCUUUAAAUAAAUACAAUAGACGAGAAGACCCUAGGAGUUUUAAAUUUUGUUGGGGCGACAAUAUAGCAUAUAAUUAACCUAUAUAAAAAUUAUAAAAUUUAACGAAUAGUUUUAAUAAUAAAUAAACUACCCUAGGGAUAACAGCAUAAUUUUAAAGAAAGUUUGUGACCUCGAUGUUGGACUAGGGACUUUUAAGGCUAACAGCGUAAUUGGUAGUUCUGUUCGA
rnacentral:rRNA from 1 species